AACGGGCCACUUGGUGGAGGCUUGUAGGAACCGAGGCGCCAUGGCGGAGGUGACAGCUCGGCCGACUGCAUCCCUGCCAGCAGCAGCAGAACUUCCCAGAGCCAGGUCAGGAAGAGUGCCACGGCAACUUUGAACGGGUCACUAAACAAACUGUCCUAAGUCGAGCACCACCUGUAUCUACAACUUGGCAUGCACAACAGUUUUUGCCAUCGUGGCUCAAUUGCCUGUUUUUCUCGCCUGCCUCUGAUUAAAAACGCUCCUUAUUUUCCUCGCUGGGUAUUUUGCAGUGGAGAGAAAAGACGGAUGUAUCCGAGCAGUCGGAGAACACAGGAUAACGCAAUUAGAGGGUGACAUUAUCCAUAAAAGUCUGUGAACGGUUUCAGAGCCAGUGAAAGAAUCAGCCCGGAAGGAUCCUGGUUUUUCAGGCAGAUUCAUCACAGGCUUUUUAAACUGUACACAGAAAGCAGAAGGGUAAAUGGAAUUGCUGGUUUGGAUUUUUUCCUCACUGAAAGAAACGCGAGCGGAGUAAAUCUUUUCUGAUGGAAUAAGGUUGAGGUAGAUUGAAUUUCCCGCUGGGUGAACGCAGAGCCCGUGGAUAAAUUUAUU